UAACACUUCGGGUGACGAGCGGCGGACGGCAGAGUAACGCGUAGGAACGUACCCUAAACUGAGGAAUAGCCCAUCGAAAGGUGGAUUAAUACCGCAUAUUAUUUUCGAAUCAAAGCCUUUGGGCGGUUUAGGAGCGGCCUGCGUAUGAUUAGCUUGUUGGUGAGGUAAUGGCUCACCAAGGCGACGAUCAUUAGCUGGUCUGAGAGGAUGAUCAGCCUGACUGGAACUGAGAACGGUCCAGACUCCUACGGGAGGCAGCAGUAGGGAAUUUUCCGCAAUGGGCGAAAGCCUGACGGAGCAACGCCGCGUGCAGGAGGAAGGCCCUCGGGUCGUAAACUGCUUUUAUCUGCGACGAUUUUGACGGUAGCAGAAGAAUAAGGAUCGGCUAAUUCCGUGCCAGCAGCCGCGGUCAUACGGAAGAUCCGAGCGUUAUCCGGAAUUACUGGGCGUAAAGAGUUGCGUAGGUGGCAUGUAAAGCGAGCAGUGAAAGACUCCGGCUCAACCGGAGGCACAUUGUUCGAACUCACAAGCUAGAGCAUAGUAGAGGUACCUGGAAUUUCUAGUGUAGGAGUGAAAUCCGUAGAUAUUAGAAGGAACACCGAUGGCGUAGGCAGGGUACUGGGCUAUUGCUGACACUAAGGCACGAAAGCGUGGGGAGCGAACGGGAUUAGAUACCCCGGUAGUCCACGCCGUAAACUAUGCUUGCUAGCUGUUAUCAGUAUCGACCCUGAUAGUAGCGAAGCUAACGCGUUAAGCAAGCCGCCUGUGGAGUACGAGCGCAAGCUUAAAACAUAAAGGAAUUGACGGGGACCCG
rnacentral:rRNA from 1 species